GUGAAGGACCAAGGGUUGGGUCAAUGGGGACCAAGGCUGGGUGAAGGACCAAGGGUGGGGUCAAUGGAGACCAAGGUUGGGUGGAGGACCAUGGUUGGGUGCCACCAAGGACCAAGGUUGGGUGAAGAACCAAGGUUGGGUGCCACCAAGGAGCAAGAGUUGGGUGGAGACCAAGGGUGGGGUCAAUGGAGACCAAGGUUGGGUGGAGGACCAUGGGUGGGUGCCACCAAGGACCAAGGUUGGGUGGAGGACCAAGACCACCCCACCGAGGUCACCCACCACCCCAGAAGGUCCUCAAGCUUCUCCACCGCACCCAGAUCCUCCAGAAGGUCCUCAAGCUUCUCCACCACGGUUGGGUGCCACCAAGACCACGCUCAGGUGCCACCAAGACCAAGGUUGGGUGAAGGACCAGGACCACCCACCACCCCAGAAGGUCCUCAACUUCUCCACCGAGGUCAGGUGCCACCAGGAACCAUGGUUGGGUGCCACCAAGACCACGGUUGGGUGAAGGACCAAGACCACCCACCACCCCAGAAGGUCCUCAACUUCUCCACCGAGGUCAGGUGCCACCAGGAACCAUGGUUGGGUGCCACCAAGACCACGUUCGGGUGCCACCAAGACCACGGUUGGGUGAAGGACCAAGACCACCCACCACCCCAGAAGGUCCUCAACUUCUCCAAGCCCACCCCAUCUCACCUGAGGUUGGAGGACCACCUUCAAGGGCACCGUCACCCUCUGGCCGCCGCCACCCACCACCUGCGGCACCGAGGACACGGCCACCGGCGUCCCUUGUCCUCCCCCCCCUCCGCCGGGGGUGGCUUGUUGGAGAAGUUGGAUCUUCUGAGGACCUCCCGUUUGACCGGCUGGAGGUUGUUGAACUUGAAGUUGGAUGGUGACCACCUUGGCCGGUUGCCCAGGUGUCCCCUUGGCUUGACCGAGGGUGGCCAGUUGGUUGCCCUGAAGGACAAUUUUGCCGGGCAAACUCCCGAGGACAACGUGCCGUUGACCGGGCGGGGCGGAGCCACCGGGUGGUUGUUGAAGGACCAAGGUGAUACGUUUGGAUUCACCCUAGAGAAGAAGACAACAAAGAAGGCGGGGUCAAGACCUGAAGGACAACUUGGGGACACCCAGAGGGGAGGUGGACCUCGAGGAGGCGGGGAACGUGGUUACGGGGAGGUGGCUUCAAGAGCGAGGUUCUCAAGAACUUCUGAAGAAGCCACACUCGGGUGGUGGCCCCAACCCUGAAGAUCUCAAGAACUUCUGAGGGACCCACUCUUGGGAUGGGACCUUGACCCCGAGGUGUCCUCGACCUUGAAGAUCUCAAGAACUUCUCAGGAACCCGCUCUUGGGUGGUAGCCCCAACCUUGAAGAUCUCAAGAACUUCUGAGGGACCCCCUCUUGGGUGGUGGCCCCAACCUUGAAGAUCUCAAGGACUUUGGGG
rnacentral:lncRNA from 1 species